UACGGGAGGCAGCAGUGGGGAAUAUUGCACAAUGGGCGAAAGCCUGAUGCAGCUAUGCCGCGUGUAUGAAGAAGGCCUUAGGGUUGUAAAGUACUUUCAUCGGGGAGGAAAAAACAAAACUAAUAAUUUUAUUUCUUGACGUUACCCGAAAAAGAAGCACCGGCUAACUCCGUGCCAGCAGCCGCGGUAAUACGGAGGGUGCUAGCGUUAAUCAGAAUUACUGGGCGUAAAGAGCACGUAGGUGGUUUUUUUAAAGUCAGAUGUGAAAUCCCUGGGCUUUAACCUGGAACUGCAUUUUGAAACUGAAAUACUAGAGUAUCGUAGAGGGAGGUAGAAUUCUAGGUGUAGCGGUGAAAUGCGUAGAUAUCUGGAGGAAUACCUGUGGCGAAAGCGGCCUCCUAAACGAAUACUGACACUGAGGGUGCGAAAGCGUGGGGAGCAAACAGGGAUUAGAUACC
rnacentral:rRNA from 1 species